UACGAAGGGGGCUAGCGUUGCUCGGAAUCACUGGGUGUAAAGGGUGCGUAGGCGGGUCUUUAAGUCAGGGGUGAAAUCCUGGAGCUCAACUCCAGAACUGCCUUUGAUACUGAGGAUCUUGAGUUCGGGAGAGGUGAGUGGAACUGCGAGUGUAGAGGUGAAAUUCGUAGAUAUUCGCAAGAACACCAGUGGCGAAGGCGGCUCUCUGGACCACUACUGACGCUGAGGCGCGAAAGCUAGGGGAGCAAACAGG
rnacentral:rRNA from 1 species